rnacentral:lncRNA from 1 species
UUGGAUUUCCUUUGGCAGGGUUCCCUUGUAUGGAAGUUCUCAGGAGAACAACACUCUCAGAGUCCCACUGUCUCAAAGAAUUCUUAAUGGACAGGUAUUUUUAAAGAAGUCAGGGUUAUCCACAGCUAUGUACAUAUAAUACCAAAUCAGAUCAUUUAUUCUGUACCUGAGGCAAAAAAGCUUCUGAUUCCUGAAUGGAUUUCUUCACUGGUUCUUCUGGGGGAUGAGAGAGAGAAACCAUUUACAAAGCUGAAGGAGAGCUAAGUCCACCCCUACACUGGCUGAGUUUCUUUGUAUAACAACUGUUCUCCCUUCCUAUUUUCUUCAAUUAUCUCUUCUUUCCCCAGCUAUACUUGGCCCCAAGGUUUCAACCUCACACUGAAGAAAGUGACAUAAGAAAACACAAGUCCCAGUGCUAUCAGGGGCUAUCUGGAAAAGCUGCUUAAACAGCAAGUGAAAGAAGGCUCUCCCCUACCCCGUUCUAGGUGAGGAACAGGUGGCUGACUCACCCUGAAGUUAUUUGAAGGAUCCUUGAGACUCUUUUGGAUUGCUGCUUGGAGAACAUUCCUGUAACUUGUCCCUGCUCCUUGAACUAUAAAAGCAGAAGGGAGGUACUGAGUUAAAACUUACAAAUUAUUAUCAAAUAAAUCUUCAAUAGU